rnacentral:rRNA from 1 species
UACGUAGGGUGCAAGCGUUAAUCGGAAUUACUGGGCGUAAAGCGCGCGUAGGCGGCUUUGCAAGUCGAGUGUGAAAUCCCCAGGCUUAACCUGGGAACUGCAUUCGAGACUGCAUGGCCAGAGUAUGGGAGAGGGAAGUGGAAUUUCAGGUGUAGCGGUGAAAUGCGUAGAUAUCUGAAGGAACAUCAGUGGCGAAAGCGACUUCCUAGACCAAUACUGACGCUCAUGUGCGAAAGCGUGGGGAGCAAACAGG